rnacentral:lncRNA from 1 species
AAUUCUUCUCCAAAUUGCAGCGGUCAAGCCCCCGUCUGAUGGCAAAUGCGAAGAUCUCCUAUAUUGGGCUCACUCAAAAACGGGCAAGUUCACAUCUAAAUCAGCUUACCUUUUUCUGAAUAAUUCCAAUUGCAGCAAAGAUGCUCAUUUCUGGAAAUUAAUUUGGCAAUGGAAAGGGCCCCAACGAGUUAAAAUUUUUUUAUGGUUGGUGAUGCAUGGAAAAAUUAAAACUAGAGAGGAGCUUUUUAAGAGGCAUAUUCUGGAUAAAAUGAAUUGUGAAAGAUGUGGCCAUGAGAGAGAAAACGAGAUGCAUGCACUUAGGGACUGUUUUGUUGCAAAGAGAAUAUGGAAUUGUUUAAUUCCAGUCAACUUCAGACAUCAUUUUUUCUCCUUUAAUCUUCGUGAUUGGCUCUGUUUCAACUUGGGAAAGACUGGUAUCAAUGAAGUGGGGGAUGAAUGGGCAUGUUUAUUUGGAGUGGCUAUCUGGAAAAUUUGGUUUUUGCGUAAUCAAUUUCUUUUCUCACAAAAAUCCCCUUACUGCACCCAUGUUGUUGCUGAAAUUAAAUCUUGGGCUCAAGACAUUCAAAAUGCACGAUCAACUCUUAGUUUCGGUCAGAGUAAUAAGAUCAUCAAAGAUGUUAGAUGGCAAGCUCCCCCUGAAUUUUUUUUCAAAUUAAAUACUGAUGGAUCACGAUUAAAGAAUGGUCUAGCCAGUGCUGGAGGCUUGGUGAGGGAUUGCUCUGGAAAGUGGCAGUUUGGCUUUGGCAUGAACAUUGGAUUUGGAUCGGUGACUACUGCAGAACUUUGGGGUCUUUUUCAAGGACUUAAUAUUGCUUGGGACCGUGGCAUUCGUUAUUUAAUUGCAGAGGUGGAUAGCCAAUGUGUUUCCCAACUUAUUUCCUCUACUAGUUUGAUGCCUAAUGCACAUUUUUCUCUCAUAACUGCCAUAAAGGAACUGAUGAAUAGACAAUGGCUCAUUACCAUAAAGCAUAUAUAUCGGGAAGCCAAUUUUGCUGCAGAUUCCAUGGCGAAACUUGCUGGUUCCUUACCCCUUGGACUUCAUGUCUUUGAAAAUCCCCCCGCGGGUCUUGGUUAUUGGUUAUGUAAUGAUAUAUAUGGGACCUCUAUG